GUCAUGUUUAUACUAUAUGGUUCCCUCUAUAGUCAUGUUUUAGACUAUAUGGGUUCCCUCUAUAGUCAUGUUUAUACUAGGGUCCCUCCUAUGUCCAGUGUUUAGACUAUAGGGUCCCUCUAUAGUCAUGUUUAUACUAUAUGGUUCCCUCUCUAUAGUCAUGUUUAUACAUAUGUUCCCUCUCAUAGUCAUGUUUAUACAUAUGGUUCUAUGUCAUGUUUAUACUAUAUGGUUCCCUCUCUAGAGUCAUGUUUAUAAUACUAUUACGGUCCCUCUAUAGUCAUGUUUAUACUAUAUGGUUCUAUAGUCAUGUUUAUACUAUAUGGUUCCCUCUCUAUAGUCAUGUUUCUACUAUAUGGUUCCCUCUCUAUAGUCAUGUUUAUACUAUAUGGUUCCCUCUAUAGUCAUGUUUAUACUAUAUGGUUCUAUAAUCAUGUUUAUACUAUAUGGUUCUAUAGUCAUGUUUACACUAUGGUUCCCUCUAUAGUCAUGUUUAUACUAUAUGGUUCCUUUUCAAUAAUUAUAAUAAUAAUAUUUAUUUAUUAUGGACCCUAUUUACCUUCAUAUUACCCUGUCUGAUUUAGCUGGUUUGCAGUGUGUCGUCAUCAGUAUGUUGAAUGAAUCAUACAAUUAAAACCUAUUUCUACUGAGUUAUAUAAAACAGUUAUAUUUUCACACUUCUUCAAUCUGAUAUGAAGGGUGUAUCUCAAUCUUAAAUGGUGUCCCCUCUCCUUGCUUCCUUCCCUUCAUCAGCACUGAUAUGAAACAACGAGUGGCAAAAUCAGGUUCCCUGGGACCCAACAUGCAGCUCUUGCAUCUGAAUUAAGACGCUUCCCUUUGUCUGUCUACUUACUACAUCAUGGGCCAUCGGUCUUUCUCUUUGGUCUCUCCUGUCAGAUGGGAUUGGCUGGAGCUGGGGUGGUUAAGCAUCAGAGGGCAGGUCAGAGGGGAUGGUGAGGGUGUGUAGCAGGAGGUGGACAGUGGUGGUGGCGGGGGGGAACCAGAGAGGGCGUUCAGGGAAGACUUCAGAGUCUCACAGGCUGCAACAAUCACCUACAUGACAGGGAGGAGGGGAGGCUAGGGUUGGCAAUGCUUGCUUUUUUGGCCAUAGCGCCGCAAAACAAUAAAACCAAAACCUAGCUCGUCUUUGAGCCUUUCUACACAGGUCUUCCGGUCCCUCUCAGCUACCGGACAGCUAAGCUGUUUACCGGCAUAUCCAACAAAAGAAAACAGAAAUCCAACAGGCUUAAUCUUACUGGGGUCAGGUCUAGGGCCAAAUAACAUCCGGUAGGUUCCUGUCCAGUUGGGUUCGAGAUCCCUCCCAGCGUUGGAGGGCUUUGUAUGUCAGCUCUUGCUGCUCCAAGCCAAAAACAGAUCUGGCUAAAGCCAGGCAAAAAAUAAUUAAUAACACCACCCAACCUCCAAGCUAAGCUUUAUUCUGGUGUGUGUCAUUAGGCUCUUACCCUUCCAGGCCUACCUCUCUUCUGGCCAGCAGAUGUCGCCAACGAGCAGGAAUAGAACGGCCUUCACACACCCACCCUUUCAGUCCAUCACAAUGGUGAAAUGCGCACACAGUGGACACAUAUUUUUG
rnacentral:lncRNA from 1 species